UUUGAUUGAUUUUGCUCGUCCUCGGUUCAUCCGUUUAGAUAGAAAAUCGCGUCUGGUUUCAUUUUGCUCGUCCUCGCCGUCACCCGUUUAGCAUCGCUUCCGAGUUGAUUUUGCUCGUCCUCGCCGUCGCCAGUUUAGAGUCGCGUGUGAUUUGAUUUUGCUCGUCCUCGCCGCCGCCCGUUUAGAAUCGCUUCCGAGUUGAUUUUGCAGGUCCUCGCCGUCGUCAGUUUAGAGUUGCGUGUGAUUUGAUUCUGCUCGUCCUCCUCCUCGUCCGUUUAGAUCAGAAAUCGCGUCUGUUUUGAGUUUUCUUUGUCCUCGCCGUCGUCAAUAUAGAUAGAAUCGCGUCUUGAUUUGAUUUUGCUCGUUCUCGUCCAGUCCGUUUGGAAUCGCGUCUGAUUUGAUUCUCCUCGAUCCCCUGUGUUGCUGCUGGGUUCUUUACACUGAUGCUCUCGCGUGUUCUUCGUGCCGUCUCAUCGGGGGUAUCCGUGGAGGAAGCGAGCGGUCGGUCCGUCGGUCGGUUUGGGUUGUCUGGUUUGCGAACUAACAAGUCUGUUUGAGAAACUUCUGCGUGCGCUUCUGUUAUCUGAGAGACGCUCACGUUCCUGCGUUUCAUGUUCGCGUCGGGCCCUUGUUCGCGUCUGCUUUUGAAAUUGGAAUUGCUGUUUAUCAUGCUCGUUCAGAUCGGUUCCUCUGUUCCGUUACCUGCGCUGUUCGUCGGUUACUUUCAUAUCUCAAACGCAUGCGCCCUUUGAUACUGCUUGAUGGAUGUUCAGAUCUCAAAUGUUGCGUUGUUCAGAUCGGUUAUUUUGAUUGAAAUUGGGUUGUUGGCCCUCUGUCGUUUCUUAUUCUACUUGAUGGAUGUUCAGGGUGUUACUAUGUUGUUUUCAAUUGCUUACUCUUGUCAUGCUUUGCUCAUGUUCCCAUAUAUGGUGAUGUGUAUUCAGGGGUGCAAACCAUUUAGGCAGAAAGUUUUACAAGAGUGCAAACCAUGUGGCCUUCUUUUCUUCCUCAUGUUGCUAUUUCCAUUUAACUGCUCAUCAUACGAGUACUAGAUGUCGAGGUGCUGCUAGUUAGUCCCCCUUAGACUUUGUUCUAGAUAAAAGAGCAUAACUCCAGAAUUUAUUUAUCUGUAAAAGCUUGUUCAUCACAUGUUUUUUUGUCAAUGCUGCUAACUUUAUAGCUUUCUGAGAUUACUUCGGUCUUGCAUGUAUUAGCUUUCUGUUUGUGCCCCUAUCUAAGUCUGUUUCUUGUGUGCAAGCGCUCCAUUCUGUGUGUGUCACUGUUGUGUGGCUUGAUGGUGAAUAUGUGUGGUUUGACUCUGUGUGUGUGUGGCUUGAUGGUGAAUAUGUGUGGCUUGACUCUGUGUGUGUGUGUGGCUUGAUUGUGUGUGUGGCUUGACUGUGUGUGGCUUGAUGGUGAAUUUGUGUGUGGCUUGACUGUGUGUGUGACCCUGUGAAUAUAUUACAUUUGCUUGAUGGUGUGGCUUGACUGUGUGUGUGUGACCCUGUGAAUAUUACAUUUGCUUGAUGGUGUGGCUUGACUGUGUGUGGCUUGAUGGUGAAUUUGUGUGUCGCUUGACUGUGUGUGUGUGACCCUGUGAAUAUUGCAUUUGCUUGAUGGUGUGGCUUGUAUGCUUUGUUGAAUGAUUGGUUGUAUAACUUGUGUUUUAUAUUGUUGUGGCAUGAUUGAUUGCUGUUUGUUGAAUGCGAACUCGUAUCUUGACGAAUAAUCAUGUAUGCUAACUUGGUAUUGGUAGUUCCUGAUCACCUAUUACUUGUUUAGUGUAGACUGACUAUUCUUUUUUCUGAACUUUUUUGUGAUUAUGUCUUCACAUUGCACUGCUCGAUCCAUAUCGACAUGCCCACGCUGUCUGGUGAGGAUAAAGAUGUUAUGAGAAAGAUAGGGUGCCCCAACCAAGAUUGACUUCCUCUCUCUUUCUUAUACAAGGCAUGCAGAAGAUGUGUGGCAAGUAACUCAUUAUGUCAGAUAUUUAGAGUGCAUGGGAGUUCCUCUCAAAGUUAGGUGAUCUUAGCCAAACUCUGAUUUUUGCCAAAAUUGAGAAUGUGGAGGGCUUGAACCAUUUUGAUGAGAUCCUGGAAGAAGCAGAUGGUAUAAUUCUGUCAAGAGGAAACUUUGGAAUUGAUCUUCAACCUGAAAAGGUGUUCUUAUUUCAGAAGUCUGCUCUGCACAAGUGCAACAUGGCUGGAAAGCCCUGCUGUUGUUACUCAUGUUGUGGACUGUAUGACGGACAACCUAAGGCCUGCUCGCGCGGAGGCAACUGAUGUGGCAAAAAUGCGGUGCUGGACGGUUAGUUUUUGCCUCUUGCUGACAUCUUAUACUUUGGUGAUCCUGUAAGUUUUUGCCUCUUGCAGAAUCCGAUGAAAGUUCUGAUUCCAAAAGCUCUGACUCUGAGAAGCCAGCUACCGAAGUGAAGAAUCCUGCGGGUUGCUACUGCACAAAAGAAAAACCAGGAAUUGGACGGCUCUAGCAGUGAUUCUGAUCGGCUAUCAGGAGGCCGACUGCAGGCCGACUGAGCCCAGUCGGCCCACAGCAGGCCGAUCGGCUAUCAGGAGGCCGACUGUAGGCCGGGUAGCCACGCGGCGGCCGUUGGUUGGUCGUGCCACGUCGCGAGGGGGGAGGCAGCGGCCUGUCGGCGUGGUGCGCCCCUGUCGGCGUCCCGCCCACCGAUCGGCCACCUGGUGGCCGACAGGGUGCGGCCGACCUGACGCGCGUUGGCCAGCCCGCCCUUAUCCUCUCCUUCUCUCUUUCCUGCAUUAUUUCUUCUCCCUGCCCGCCCAUAUCCUCUCCUUCCUCCAUUAUUCUUCUCCCGUGGCUCAUUCUGCUGUGUUCUUCCUCCUCUCUCUACAGAAAAAUGGCACACAUUUGUACACCUAAAUGAGCUACAUUUUCGCGA